AGUGAGCGCUGGCGGCGUGCUUAACACAUGCAAGUCGAACGAGAACGGGUUAUAGCUUGCUAUAAUUGUCAGCUAAGUGGCGCACGGGUGAGUAAUGUAUAGGUAAUAUGCCUCUUACUAAGGGAUAACAAAUGGAAACGUUUGCUAAUACCUUAUACUCCUUAUUAACAUAAGUUAAUAAGGGAAAGAUUUAUUGGUAAGAGAUUAGCCUGUAUUGUAUCAGUUAGUUGGUGGGGUAAUGGCUUACCAAGACUAUGACACAUAACUGGUUUGAGAGGAUGAUCAGUCACACUGGAACUGAGACACGGUCCAGACUCCUACGGGAGGCAGCAGUGGGGAAUAUUGCACAAUGGACGAAAGUCUGAUGCAGCAACGCCGCGUGGAGGAUGACACAUUUCGGUGCGUAAACUCCUUUUAUAUGAGAAGAUAAUGACGGUAUUAUAUGAAUAAGCACCGGCUAACUCUGUGCCAGCCGCCGCCGUAAGAC
rnacentral:rRNA from 1 species